GAUCCUGGCUCAGGAUGAACGCUGGCGGCGUGCUUAACACAUUCAAGUCGGACGGAGUUCAAUUGGGAGCUUGCUCCCGGCUGAACUUAGUGGCGGACGGGUGAGUAAUGCAUGAGCAACCUGCCUUCAGGAGGGGGAUAACAUCGGGAAACCGGUGCUAAUACCGCAUAGAGCAUUUUGCAGGCAUUCUGCGAGAUGGGAAAGGAGCAAUCCGCCUGGAGAUGGG
rnacentral:rRNA from 1 species